rnacentral:rRNA from 1 species
UACGUAGGUGGCAAGCGUUGUCCGGAUUCAUUGGGCGUAAAGAGCUCGUAGGCGGUUCGGUAAGUCGGGUGUGAAAUCUCCGUGCUCAACACGGGGCGGCCACCUGAUACUGCCGUGACUCGAGUCCGGUAGGGGAGUGUGGAAUUCCCGGUGUAGCGGUGAAAUGCGUAGAUAUGCGGAGGAACACCGAUGGCGAAGGCAAUCCCCUGGGCCUGCACUGACGCUCAUGCACGAAAGCGUGGGGAGCAAACAGG